rnacentral:lncRNA from 1 species
AUGGAUGACCUGUUUAAGACUUCUGUACAGUCAGAUUCUUGGGCCAGUGAGGCGUGGAGCUGGAAAACUUGGCAGAAAACUCUUUUGACUUUCCUGCUUGUACCUAUGGAACCUUGUUUGCAAGGUUGGUAUUAAGAUAGUCUGAAGGAAGGAAGUGGUGGAAGACUUUCACCACAAUUCUGAAAAAUGAGCAGUGUCAACCUGGUAAGUUUAUCUUUUUGUUAUUGUUGUAUUGAUGAUGGUUUUCCUAUGGAUGUUCUCAUUUAUGUUUUUAGCAAGAUCACUGUUACUGUUG